GAUUUAUUUUAUUUAAUUAUUUUUAUUUUUUUUUUUUUUGUGCUAUACUUGUAGUGGGUGCAUACUACCACAAAAAGACAGCAGUUCCGCAUGUUCAUACUAAAAGGAAUUCUGAAAAGGUUUUUAGCUUGUUCAUUUUAUUUUAAUGAUAAAGAAAUUACCAAACACAAAAAAGUUGAUAAUGAAAAUGUAUUAAAUGAUGACGAAGCUUUAAUAUUAAAAAAUAUAUUCCUACUAUUAUACGAAAGUUUAGAAUAUUUAGACAUAACUAACUUUACCAAUAUAAAUGACAAGAACUGUAUUUUUGAAUUGAUAAAAUUUUUUAUUGAAUUAAUAAAGAAACCAUUAUUGCACUCAGUACAUAUACUAUGUAUAAACUAUUUAAUACAAAUAAUAAAAAAAAUGUUAUGAUUAUAGACUUUGUUAUAAUAUUAAUGUAGAACUAUAUGAUAUAGGACCAUGUGUUAAUAUUUUUGUUAAAGUUGUUAACUUGAUUUUUGCUAAGCUUUUAUGCGUUUUCAAAGAUAUAAAAAAUGAAGAACAUAUUUAUUCUAUUGAUGAAAUAAAUAAUAUUAACAAUUUAGUCAUGUUAUUUUUUGUAAAUGUCAUAAACAACUUUGUUCGUAUACUUAUACCUCAAGUGCUUUUUAACGAAAAACUGAAACAUGACUAUUUAACUUGCAACGAAAUGGAAAAUACAAAAAAAAUAAAAAAUAAGUACGAGGAAAUAUCUUUUGAAGAUAAAAUUGUCCUAAACACAUGUAAUCCCAUAUUUUCGUUUAUAGAAAUAUUAAUUAUCAACAACCAUGAAAGAUACGAAAAGGCUUUUUAUGUCGACUUAAUAAAAACAUUGAUCAACGAAUGUAGAAAAAUAGAAAGACAGUACAAUAUUAUGAAAAUAAUACAUGAUGAAUAUAUAUUAUUUAUUAAAGGAGAUGAUUAUAAAAAAAACAAAACUUAUAUAUUGAUAGAAAUUAUUUGAAAAUAAAAAAAUUGAGUAAACAAAGAUU
rnacentral:lncRNA from 1 species